rnacentral:rRNA from 1 species
AGGUCAAGUUAUUAAGAGCAUAGGGUGGAUGCCUUGGCACCAGAAGCCGAUGAAGGACGCGGUAAGCUGCGAAAAGCUACGGGGAGUUGCAAGCGAACAUUGAUCCGUAGAUAUCCGAAUGGGGCAACCCGGCUGGAGUCAUGUCCAGUCAUCCUGACAUGAAUACAUAGUGUCAGGAAGGGAGACCCGGGGAACUGAAACAUCUAAGUACCCGGAGGAGUAGAAAGAAAAAUCGAUUCCCAAAGUAGCGGCGAGCGAAAUGGGAAGAGCCCAAACCAACGGCUACGGCUGUUGGGGUUGCGGACAGUCAAUAGUGUGAUGGCACGAAUCUAGUUGAAGAGGUCUGGAAAGGCCCACCAGAGAGGGUGACAGUCCCGUAAGCGAAAGAGGCAGGCCCGCCGACUGAUCCAGAGUACUACGGGGCACGUGAAACCCUGUAGGAAACCGGGAGGACCAUCUCCCAAGGCUAAAUACUUUCUGGUGACCGAUAGAGCAUAGUACCGUGAGGGAAAGGUGAAAAGAACCCCGGGAGGGGAGUGAAAUAGAACCUGAAACCCUAUGUUUACAAGCAGUGGAAGCACGUGAUGUGCGACCAUGUACUUUUUGUAGAACGGGCCAACGAGUUACGUUAUGCAGCGAGGUUAAGGUGCUGGAGCACUGGAGCCGCAGGGAAACCGAGUCUGAAUAGGGCGCAUCAGUUGCAUGGCGUAGACCCGAAACCGGGUGACCUAUCCAUGAACAGGUUGAAGCUGAAGUAAAAUUCAGUGGAGGACCGAACUCAUGUCUGUUGAAAAAGGCUGGGAUGAUUUGUGGAUAGCGGAGAAAUUCCAAUCGAACUCGGAGAUAGCUGGUUCUCCUCGAAAUAGCUUUAGGGCUAGCCUUGAUUGAAGUGACGCGGAGGUAGAGCACUGUUUGUCCUAGGGGCCUUCACCGGCUACCGAAGACUCACAAACUCCGAAUGCCGCAGUCAUAUGAUCAGGAGUCAGACUAUGUGUGAUAAGAUUCAUAGUCAAAAGGGAAACAGCCCAGACCAUCAGCUAAGGUCCCCAAGUGCAGACUAAGUGGAGAAGGAGGUGGGAUUGCACAGACAACCAGGAUGUUGGCUUAGAAGCAGCCAUUCAUUUAAAGAGUGCGUAAUAGCUCACUGGUCAAGUGGACAUGCGCCGACAAUUCA